rnacentral:tRNA from 1 species
GCAGUCGUGGCCGAGUGUUUAAGGCGAUUGACUAGAAAUCCAUUGGGGUCUCCCCGCACAGGUUCGAAUCCUGUCGACUGCG